rnacentral:rRNA from 1 species
UGAACGCGAAGAACCUUACCUGGUCUUGACAUCCACAGAACUUUCCAGAGAUGGAUUGGUGCCUUCGGGAACUGUGAGACAGGUGCUGCAUGACAAUAGACAGCUCGUGUUGUGAAAUGUUGGGUUAAGUCCCGCAACGAGCGCAACCCUUAUCCUUUGUUGCCAGCGGUUAGGCCGGGAACUCAAAGGAGACUGCCAGUGAUAAACUGGAGGAAGGUGGGGAUGACGUCAAGUCAUCAUGGCCCUUACGACCAGGGCUACACACGUGCUACAAUGGCGCAUACAAAGAGAAGCGACCUCGCGAGAGCAAGCGGACCUCAUAAAGUGCGUCGUAGUCCGGAUUGGAGUCUGCAACUCGACUCCAUGAAGUCGGAAUCGCUAGUAAUCGUAUAUCUGUAUGCUACGGUGAAUACGUUCCCGGGUCUUGUACACACGCA